GACGAACGCUGGCGGCGUGCUUAACACAUGCCAGUCGAACGGAAAGGCCCUGCUUUUGUGGGGUGCGCGAGUGGCGAACGGGUGAGUAACACGUGAGUAACCUGCCCUUGACUUUGGGAUAACUUCAGGAAACUGGGGCUAAUACCGGAUAGGAGCUCCUGCUGCAUGGUGGGGGUUGGAAAGUUUCGGCGGUUGGGGAUGGACUCGCGGCUUAUCAGCUUGUUGGUGGGGUAGUGGCUUACCAAGGCUUCGACGGGUAGCCGGCAUGAGAGGGUGACCGGGCACAUUGGGACUGAGAUACGGCCCAGACUCCUACGGGAGGCAGCAGUGGGGAAUAUGGCACAAUGGGCGGAAGCCUGAUGAAGCAACGCCGCGUGUGGGAUGACGGCCUUCGGGUUGUAAACCGCUUUCGCCUGAGACGCAGCGUGAGUGACGGUACUGGGUAAAGAAGCACCGGCUAACUACGUG
rnacentral:rRNA from 1 species